rnacentral:rRNA from 1 species
UACGUAGGCAGCGAGCGUUGUUCGGAAUUACUGGGCGUAAAGGGCUCGUAGGCGGCCAACUAAGUCAUACGUGAAAUCCCCCGGCUUAACCGGGGAACUGCGUCUGAUACUGGAUGGCUUGAGUUCGGGAGAGGGAGUGCGGAAUUCCAGGUGUAGCGGUGAAAUGCGUAGAGUAUCUGGAGGAACACCGGUGGCGAAGGCGGCAUCCUGGACCGAUACUGACGCUGAGGAGCGAAAGCCAGGGGAG